GGAUUAGAUACCCUGGUAGUCCACGCCGUAAACGAUGAUUACUGGUUGUGUGCGAUACACAGUGCGCGACUGAGCGAAAGCAUUAAGUAAUCCACCUGGGGAGUACGUUCGCAAGAAUGAAACUCAAAGGAAUUGACGGGGGCCCGCACAAGCGGAGAAACAUGUGGUUUAAUUCGAUGAUACGCGAGGAACCUUACCUGGGCUUAAAUGUAGAGUGCAUGAAUUGGAAACAGUUCUUUUCUUCGGAACUCUUUACAAGGUGCUGCAUGGUUGUCGUCAGCUCGUGCUG
rnacentral:rRNA from 1 species